rnacentral:rRNA from 1 species
AUUGAACGCUGGCGGCAGGCCUAACACAUGCAAGUCGAACGGUAACAGGGAUCAGCUUGCUGAUUCGCUGACGAGUGGCGGACGGGUGAGUAAUGUCUGGGAAACUGCCUGAUGGAGGGGGAUAACUACUGGAAACGGUAGCUAAUACCGCAUAACGUCGCAAGACCAAAGAGGGGGACCUUCGGGCCUCUUGCCAUCGGAUGUGCCCAGAUGGGAUUAGCUAGUAGGUGGGGUAACGGCUCACCUAGGCGACGAUCCCUAGCUGGUCUGAGAGGAUGACCAGCCACACUGGAACUGAGACACGGUCCAGACUCCUACGGGAGGCAGCAGUGGGGAAUAUUGCACAAUGGGCGCAAGCCUGAUGCAGCCAUGCCGCGUGUAUGAAGAAGGCCCUCGGGUUGUAAAGUACUUUCAGCGGGGAGGAAGGGAGUAAAGUUAAUACCUUUGCUCAUUGACGUUACCCGCAGAAGAAGCACCGGCUAACUCCGUG